AUUGAACGCUGGCGGCAGGCCUAACAAAUGCAAGUCGAACGGAGCGGCGGAAGGGUGAGUAAUGCCUAGGCAUCUGCCUGGUAGUGGGGGAUACCGUCCGGCAACGGGCGCUAAUACUGCAUACUCUCAGCUGAGCCUAGGUCGGAUUAGAUAGUUGGUGGGGUAAAGGCAUACAAAGGCGACGAUCCGUAACUGGUCUGAGAGGAUGAUCAGUCACACUGGAACUGAGACACGGUGCAGAGUCCUACGGGAGGCAGCAGUUGGGAAUAUUGGACAAUGGGCGAAAGCCUGAUCCAGCCAUGGCGCGUGUGUGAAGAAGGUCUUCGGAUUGUAAAGCACUUUAAGUUGGGAGGCGUUACCAACAGAAUAAGCACCGGCUAACUGCGUGCCAGCAGCCGGGGUAAUAC
rnacentral:rRNA from 1 species